UCCGUAGGUGAACCUGCGGAGGGAUCAUUACACAAUAUGAAAGCGGGCUGGCAUCCUUCGGGGUUACAGCCUUGCUGAAUUAUUCACCCGUGUCUUUUGCGUACUUCUUGUUUCCUUGGUGGGUUCGCCCACCAUAGGACAAACCAUAAACCUUUUGUAAUUGCAAUCAGCGUCAGUAAAAAAAAUUAAUAAUUACAACUUUUAACAACGGAUCUCUUGGUUCUGGCAUCGAUGAAGAACGCAGCGAAAUGCGAUAAGUAGUGUGAAUUGCAGAAUUCAGUGAAUCAUCGAAUCUUUGAACGCACAUUGCGCCCUUUGGUAUUCCGGAGGGCAUGCCUGUUUGAGUGUCAUGAACACCUCACCCCCUCGGUUUCCGAUUGGGUGGAUUUGGGUGCUGCCAGUUACAUGGCUCGCCUUAAAACGCAUUAGCGGUUGUUGACGUAAUAAGUUUCGUCUUGUCGACCGCUUCUAAUCUCCUUCGGGAUGUCUUUCGGGACACUUCAUGAUCUGACCUCAAAUCAGGUAGGACUACCCGGCUGAACUUAAGGCAUAUCAAUAAGGCGGGAGGGGAAGGUCGACUGGCCAAGGGCACACAGGGGGGGAUA
rnacentral:rRNA from 1 species